rnacentral:rRNA from 1 species
AUUGAACGCUGGCGGCAGGCCUAACACAUGCAAGUCGCGCGAGCGGCGGACGGGUGAGUAAUGUAUGGGAAUCUGCCUGAUGGAGGGGGCUAACUACUGGAAACGGUAGCUAAUACCGCAUACCAUCAGAUGAACCCAGAUGGGAUUAGCUAGUAGGUGGGGUAAUGGCUCACCUAGGCGACGAUCCCUAGCUGGUCUGAGAGGAUGAUCAGCCACACUGGAACUGAGACACGGCCCAGACUCCUACGGGAGGCAGCAGUGGGGAAUAUUGCACAAUGGGCGCAAGCCUGAUGCAGCCAUGCCGCGUGUGUGAAGAAGGCCUUCGGGUUGUAAAGUACUUUCAGCGAGGAGGCGUUACUCGCAGAAGAAGCACCGGCUAACUCCGUGCCAGCAGCCGCGGUAAUAC